GAUGAACGCUGGCGGCGUGCCUAAUACAUGCAAGUCGAGCGAACAGACCAGGAGCUUGUUCCUCUUACUUUAGCGGCGGACGGGUGAGUGACACGUGGAUAACCUCACUAUAAGCCUGGGAUAACUUCGGGAAACCGGAGCUAAUACCGGAUCAUAUAUUGAACCGCAUGGUUCAUUAGUGAGAGACGGUUUUGCUGUCACUGAUAGAUGGAUCCGCGCCGCAUUAGCUAGUUGGUAAGGUAACGGCUUACCAAGGCAACGAUGCGUAGGCGAUCUGAGAGGGGGAUCAGCCACACUGGAUCUGAGACACGGUCCAGACUACUACGGGAGGCAGCAGUAGGGAAUCGUACGCAAUGGGCGAAAGCAUGGCGGGACAAAGCCGAGUGAGUGAUGAAGGUCUUCGGAUAGUAAUACUCUGUUAUUAGGGAAGAACAAAUGUGUAAGUAACGAGGCACGUCUUGACGGUACCUAAUCAGAAAGCCACGGCUAACUACGUG
rnacentral:rRNA from 1 species